AGCGGUUAAAAUAUUCGGCUGCUAACCGAAAGGUUGGUGGUUUGAACCCACCAGCUGCUC
rnacentral:tRNA from 1 species